rnacentral:rRNA from 1 species
UACAGAGGGUGCAAGCGUUAAUCGGAUUUACUGGGCGUAAAGCGUGCGUAGGCGGCAAGAUAAGUCGGAUGUGAAAUCCCUGGGCUCAACCUAGGAACUGCAUUCGAUACUGUCUCGCUAGAAUUCGGUAGAGGGUGGCGGAACUCCAGGUGUAGCGGUGAAAUGCGUAGAUAUCUGGAAGAACACCGAUGGCGAAGGCAACCACCUGGGCCUGAAUUGACGCUGAGGCACGAAAGCGUGGGGAGCAAACAGG